rnacentral:lncRNA from 1 species
GUAAAUCCAAGUCAGGCAACAAGUCUCUCUUCCCAUUUUUCUCGAAGGCCCAUUUCAUUUUUCUUCACACUCAUCUACAAUGCUUCCCUCAAUUCUCUGCUCCCCUUCCUCCUCUUCCACCUCCCUUUUCCCUUUCAACUAUUUCACCCUUUAUUCUCCUUCUUCAUCCUUAACCAAUCUCCCAUCACUUACAUACAAAACAACAAUCAAAAAAUCAACACACAAUCACUCCACAAGGGUCCAAGCUAUGAUCGAAAAAGAAACCCCAGUGACUCAACGCCCAUACACAUUCCUCCG